GUCAAUUCAGAGUCCAGCAAAGAGUGAAGGGAGUUACAACAAGCCCACAUGCCUGGCACAUGGAUCACCACUUAGCAGGUUCCUUGAAGGAGAAGGUACCCAGAAGCAUUUCGUAAAGAUACUUUCUCUACUCUUCUGCACCUAACAAUAGACUAAAGGGAGCCAGUGUGCAUGGACAAAACAGAAGCAGAUGACAGGAUAUUCUAUCUAAAAGCAGAUAUUCUACACAAAGCAGACAGCAAGCUCACUGUCCAUAGAGAUCACAGCAAAGUGGCUGGACAAGAAUGGAGGAGGCUGGACUAGCCAGGAGGUACAGGCCUCAGAGGCGGCAGGGCAGCUGGCAUAGGAUCCGUUCUAUCUCCUCCUUCACCUAGGAGGAGGUUCUGCAGAACCACAGCCC